UACGUAGGGUGCAAGCGUUGUCCGGAAUUAUUGGGCGUAAAGAGCUCGUAGGCGGUCUGUCGCGUCGGCUGUGAAAACUCGGGGCUCAACUCCGGAUCUGCGGUGGGUACGGGCAGACUAGAGUGAUGUAGGGGAGACUGGAAUUCCUGGUGUAGCGGUGAAAUGCGCAGAUAUCAGGAGGAACACCGAUGGCGAAGGCAGGUCUCUGGGCAUUAACUGACGCUGAGGAGCGAAAGCAUGGGGAGCGAACAGG
rnacentral:rRNA from 1 species